AAAGUUAUAUCAUUGCACGUAGUUAGUUAGAACUGAAAAUAAUUUGUUUACGGUGGAGUAUUGUACACGGUGAAUACAAAUAUGAGUGAAAGAAACAUGCCUCCUUUGUCUACAAAUACGGUAGACUUAAGAAGUGAUACGGCUACAAGACCAACGCAGGAAAUGUAUGAUGCAAUGAUAAGUUCGCCCAUAGGAGUUGACGUUUUUAAAGAAGAUCCGACCGUUAUAAAAUUACAAGAAAAAUGCGCUAAAUUAUUUGGUAAAGAUGCUGCGUUGUUUGUUGCUUCUGGAACGAUGGGUAACCUUAUUUCAGCUAUAUAUCAAAACAGUCAUGGUGUGGUGCAGAUUGAUCUAGAUGGAGUCCAAACGAACAUUUUGUUGAUUCAUGUGAAGAAAACAAGUUUUGAUGCCAAUAUGUUCUGUGAUCGUUUAUCCAAAGUAACAGACGACGAGAGGCAAAUAUUAGAAGAAGAUAUAUGCAUACUUAGUCUACCGUUUUCUAAUAAAACAGCAAGAUUGGUACUUCAUCAUAACAUUGAUCAAAAUAAAGUUGAUAAAACAAUCAAAAAACUGAAAUAUGUACUUAAAGAAAUGGCUGAUAAAAAUAAUUUAUAAUAUAGUAGCAGAACUGUUCUAUAUGUAUCCACAUAUACAGGAAUAGUUAAUUUGAUAUACUGUAUAUAUAAAUAUAUCAAAAUUAAGAAGUAAAUGUGGUUGAUUUUGUAUAUUUUUAUUUGAUCUAUUUAUUUGAUUUUUAUUUGAUUUUUAUUUGAUUUUCAUAUACUGUGUUUCUAACUUUUCACCAGUUGUUUUGGUUUGGUCGUGUCUUACCUUGCAAUUCAUAGAACGAUGUGGAAAUGUUUUUGAUUUAUGAAUUAGGAUUCGUGCAAUGGAUCAUAUCAGCAGGCCUGUAGC